rnacentral:misc_RNA from 1 species
UUAACUAUUAUAUAGUACUCAGACGACACUAAUAAACAGAGUUUGUGGUCCUUUGGCGAGCGCGCACCAGCAAGCGCCGGUGGCCGAAGCGGCUCGCCAAAGCAACAAAGGUUUAAUAACAUAGGGUUGGAGAGUCACCCCGUGAGGGCAAUGUUCUCUGUAAUGAUCCCUCCGCAGGUUCACCUACGGAGA